GACGAACGCUGGCGGCGUGCCUAAUACAUGCAAGUUGAGCGCUGAAGGUUGGUACUUGUACCAACUGGAUGAGCAGCGAACGGGUGAGUAACGCGUGGGGAAUCCGCCUUUGAGCGGGGGACAACAUUUGGAAACGAAUGCUAAUACCGCAUAAAAACUUUAAACACAAGUUUUAAGUUUGAAAGAUGCAAUUGCAUCACUCAAAGAUGAUCCCGCGUUGUAUUAGCUAGUUGGUGAGGUAAAGGCUCACCAAGGCGAUGAUACAUAGCCGACCUGAGAGGGUGAUCGGCCACAUUGGGACUGAGACACGGCCCAAACCCCUACGGGAGGCAGCAGUAGGGAAUCUUCGGCAAUGGACGAAAGUCUGACCGAGCAACGCCGCGGGAGUGAAGAAGGUUGUCGGAUCGUAAAACUCUGUUGGUAGAGAAGAACGUUGGUGAGAGUGGAAAGCUCAUAAAGUGACGGUAACUACCCAGAAAGGGACGGCUAACUACGUG
rnacentral:rRNA from 1 species